AACGAACGCUGGCGGCGUGCCUAACACAUGCAAGUCGAGCGAGAAAGUUGGCUUCGGCCAGCAAGUAAAGCGGCGCACGGGUGAGUAACGCGUGGACAAUCUGCCUCAUGGAUCGGAAUAACCUGCCGAAAGGCGGGCUAAUGCCGGAUAAGGUCUUCUGGGCUGCGGCCUGGAAGAGGAACAGGUGCUCCGCAAGGGGUAUCGCCGUGAGAUGAGUCCGCGCCCAUCAGGUAGUUGG
rnacentral:rRNA from 1 species